UGAGUGACUCACCGUCGCCAGGUGCGACCUCGCCCACUCCUCCCCACUUGGACCGAUUGGCGCCUUUCCAAGCCCGAGCCGCCUCCGAUUGGCCCAGGAGACUGUCGCGUAAGGAGACCGGGCCUCACCUUCUGCAGAAGUAACGCCUAUAAGCCAGGUCCUGGUGGAGUUGUUGGCCAUACAAAAAGGAAAUCAGCAAGGUGAAGAGCCAUUAAAGUUAUAAGACAGCAUGUUUAAAAGCCCUCUGGAUGAGGAUAGCAAGUGUCCUGCCAAAUACAUUCUUCUAAUUCUUGUGAAAUUCGGAGUAAUAACAAAAGAGACUGGAAGCUUCCCAAACAGGGGAAAUGUAAGCUCUACGCCCAUCGUUAGUCUUGAACUCACCACCCUGAGAUCAGGAGUCACAUGCUCUGCUGACUGAGACAGCCAGGCUCAGGCAGCAAUGUUUCAAAAAGGCUGAAAUUAAAAGAUUCUGGAAGUUGGCAGGCUGGUGAGGCUCAACAAGCACCUACGGAGAAUUUGUGUUGUUCCUCUGGGGCACCGCUGGUCAGGGACUGCAAAGCCGGUUCCUGCCUUUGAAGAGCUCAAAUCAACUGGGAAGGGAUAACAACAAAAAUGUUGAGUGGUGGGUAUGACAUGAGUAUAUGGGCAACACAGCCUGCUGCAGACAAAGUCUGAAGAGGCCAAUGUAGUCUGGAAAGAAAGGCAGAGAAGGCAAGGGCACGGACUGCUGGUAGACUCGGGCUCCCCCAGCCUCACCUGCCAAAAUAGCGAUGAGGACAGGGAAGAACUUUACAGGGCAAAGUAAUGGGAUGGGACAGCUAUCAACGUUAUGAACCAAAGAGUUAAUGAGGGAGAAAGAGGAAUGUUCUCUUAACAAUCGAUGAUCAAGCCAGAGGGCACGGUCGGUCAUGUAGCAGGCCAGCUCAGUUUACCUCCAGGACCCUCUCUGACCCUCACUGGCUAAACAGAAGAAAGCAAAUCAUGUAGGUUGGCAGGCUAGGAUGGAAGCUAAAAACCUAGUUUAUGGUGAUAGAAGACAGAAAAGAUUAAGGAUGCGGUGCCUGGGUGGCUCAGUUGGUUCAGCGUCUGCCUUCGGCUCAGGUCAUAAACCUGGGGUCCUGGCAUUGAGAGCCCACCCACAUCCGCAUCCGGCUGCCUGCUCUGCUUCUGCCUCUUCCUCUGCCCUUCCCCCCAUUCUGUUCUCUCUCUCUCUCUCUCUCUCUCAAAUAAAUAAAUAAAAUCUUUAAAAAAAAAAGGAA